rnacentral:rRNA from 1 species
CAGCCGCCACGGGAACACGUAGGGUGCGAGCGUUAAUCGGAAUUACUGGGCGUAAAGCGUGCGCAGGCGGUUAUAUAAGACAGAUGUGAAAUCCCCGGGCUCAACCUGGGACCUGCAUUUGUGACUGUAUAGCUAGAGUACAGUAGAGGGGGAUGGAAUUCCGCGUGUAGCAGUGAAAUGCGUAGAUAUGCGGAGGAACACCGAUGGCGAAGGCAAUCCCCUGGACCUGUACUGACGCUCAUGCACGAAAGCGUGGGGAGCAAACAGGAUUAGAUACCCCUGUAGUCCCUGUCUCUUAUAC